rnacentral:lncRNA from 1 species
ACAAUGAUAGAGGGAAAUUGACGAGAUUGCUGCAGCUACUUCCGAUGAAAAGGUACUCGAGCUGUGAGUAACUUCGUGUUGGUUGCAAACUCUCUGUGAAAUUUAGUUUCUUGCAGUCUCUUAUGUAUAAGGUUUUCAAUGUGGUUGGAGGGUGGCUUCCAGGGAAAGAUUCUAGAGAAUGACAAGCAAUGAUGAGUAGUUCAUGGAGGUUUGGAUAGCUUUCUGUUAAGUUCUCCGGUAAGGAAGUGAGUCCGUCGCAGCUGUCGAUGUGGAGUGACUGCAGAUUCUGAGGAAGCUCCAUGAGGUGAGAUAUGUCUGUCACUUUUAAAUAUUCCAUGUCUGUUUCAUCAUCAUCAUAUUGUGACGGCUUUAUUGCUUCACUUGACCGUGGACUCGGAACAGAUGACUUAAUCCCAUAUUGAUGGUACUGGUAGCUACUACUUCCAGGAAGAAUAGAACCUUCAUUUUUGGGAUCUGGAACAAGUGAUG